GCUGCAGACUGUAAAAGAAGUGGGGAUCAUUCUGAAAAAAAGUUCUGUGUCACGCUGGUGGGGUGGAAAGCACGGGAUGGGGAGGGGGAGGGAGAAGACAGAUCUUUAAAAUGUCUAGCAGUUGAGUGUGGCGAGAAAUUUCUCAGGAAACGGACUGCGAAAAAGUGAACCUGGAGGGGCGGGGAGCGAAAGCGGAGUGAGGGGCGGUGGCCAGUUGUCAACCUCGCCAGAGUGGGGAGCUACUUCUUUUUGACAGAAUGGAAAUGGACUCUUAGCGAGUCUCAUUUGUAAGCAGUAAAUACGUAUGUCUUGGAAAGAAACAGGUUCAUUUUACACGAUCUUUCGCGAAUUAAAACUUUCAAGGUUGUUUGGUUUUUUCCUGUAUGAAACUCGACAUUGGAAAAGUUUGGCUCGAAUGAGCGGAGGAUGCAUACAUCGUGUAUUUGGGGUGUUGGGGGAUACAAGGUAUCUACAACGUUAAAAGACAAAACGUUCUAAAAUGUGAAAAGAGGAAAAGGGCGUAUUCUUUGGCUCUUAAAUCUUUUGGCCAAACACGUCGCAGUUCUGAAGGGGGUGGGGCCAUGGCAACUCCUAAGUAUUGAUUCUUUGUCUAUUGUAUCAGCAAAUGACCCUCUCCAGAAGUGACCAGAUGCCUCUUUGUACUCUCCUUUCGGCAACCAUCGACACCUUUCUCUUCAUUAUUUCCAAAUGCCAGUGUAAAAUGGCUUGUAAAUAAAGCCAAGACAAGAUGGAAUUUAGAGACAAUUGUUCCAAUUUAAGAAGUGGGGUUAUCAUGAAUGGCUUUAUUUGUUAGUGCUGGAUCACAAUCUCUUGUGUUGUGAAUUUUGUACUUGGUCUCAUUAAAUAUUCUGUCCAUUUCAUUAAUUAAUAGGACAUAGCAUUCAUUGUGCUAUUUUUGAAAAACUGACAUAAUUUUAAAAUGAAAAAAACAGGACAUUUGAUUAUAUUAAACUUCUGUUUACAUGUACAGAAAUGUAUUUGAACUUUGAAAGACACUGUAGUUUUGUUUUGGUUUGCUUGUUUUAACUUUUAGGCUUGUGAUUAAGGACCGAAGGAUUUUUUUUCUUAACACUUACUUGAAUGUUUUGUUUAAGCAAGGAGACUAAUGCUUGUAACUUAUUGCUAAUAUGUGUUCAUUUUGAAAAGAAAAAACUGGUAUCUAAUGAGUUAAUCAUUAAGGAGUAUGCACAGUGCCCGCCAUUUCAGGACAUGAAAGAGUUUCUGUGAAGCUGCUUGAGACAGGAAGGAGAGAUUUGACAUCAAGUAUUUAAACUUCUUGAUUUGUGAUCUGAUAGGUGACAUUGACAGAUAUAAAGUAUUUAUAAAUAAAUUUGAGUAACCAACAUUAUAUGAAAACAUUCGAGGAGUUCCUGUACAGAAAAUUCUCUCUUGUUCUUUAUGCUUAAAAAUAACUCAAAACAAGGUGUGUUUAAAGAGAGAAAACUGCUAGUCAUGAGUUAAAGAAGACUGCUGAUGUUCGCAUAGACAAGUCCACAUUUCACAGCUGUGGUAUUCAUUAGAAUCAACUGGAGCUACCCUGAGGGGUUUUGAUUAGCAAAAGUUCUCUGCAUCGACUUCCAAUAAAUGAAAAACAUUAAUGGGAACAAUGAACUAGACAUAAUAAACAGCAUGGAGUUUCACCAAGACUCUGAAGCUGGCAAGAGUCCUCCAGAUGUUACCAAAUUGUCUCAGUUCAAUCUCAUUUUUCAUCUACUUUCAGAGGUACCCCAGAGCGACCCCCACCUCUCAUGUUGACUCCGAAGGGACGCAGCAGCAAUUCAUGUUUUGGAGUGUUGUAAAAGAUUCAAAACAUGAAGCGCUGCUACACCCCUUCGUGGGGGCGAAAAAUAAAAGGUGGAAGUCUGCAGGACAGGACAGACCAGGCAAGGCAUGACAUCUCUGGAAGCCCAGCUCUGGAGCAGCAAGGUUCUCCCUUGAGCAAGAAGGAGAGUGCCACACGGCACUGGAGGUGCCCACCCAUCCUAAAGAACAUGACCUACACCAUCCAGCUCUUUCCAGUGGGUGCCUGCUGGACUCAGGAAUAUUUUUUGAAGGCAUCCUGCUUCUCCAGUUAGCAGUACUGAUUUUUUUUCCAACAAGGGAAUACUGCAACAACAGUCUUGGCGGGGAUUUGGAUACAGAAGACUCCUGUUUCAAGAAAAUACAAUCAUCUUUCAAAAGCUGUAAUUUAUAUGCAUUUUUAUCUCACUAGAUACUGAAACACCACCCAGCUGUGGGGGUUACAGUAUAAUUAACCACUAAGUGUAAUAUUCUGCAUCCUUGAAACAUGUUACUGGAAAAUGUUUUAUGAUCUGUAAGUCAAAGAAUCUGGUCCCCUGCUUCGUCCUUCCCACUGUUCCCCCACAUCCACGCUUCUUUGUUCCAGUUGGCAUGGAAACUUGUUUUUCCCACCAAAUGAGUCAGUCAUGAUGGGAGCAUCAAUUGAUCUGAACAGAUGUGUGUCAAUGUUACUCGGAAAAACUAGAUGCAAAUAACCAGGGCCACAGAAAAAGGCAGUGGUUGUAACUCUAAAAAAUUUAUGCGUGCACACAGGCAAGGAAAAAAGUAGAACCCUAAACAGGAAAACAUUUGGCUAUACUCCAGUGCUGAGGUUGAAUGAUUGUUAUGUUGCUUUUGAUUUUCAUUAAUAUGGGCAACUGUCCAAUUAAACAAAAACCUCAUAAGGA